rnacentral:rRNA from 1 species
AGAUUAAACUGAAGAGUUUGAUCAUGGCUCAGAUUGAACGCUGGCGGCAGGCUUAACACAUGCAAGUCGAGCG